rnacentral:snRNA from 1 species
AUAGGAGCGAAAGACUAUGCU